rnacentral:rRNA from 1 species
GAUGAACGCUGGCGGCGUGCCUAAUACAUGCAAGUCGAGCGAACAGACGAGGAGCUUGCUCCUCUGACGUUAGCGGCAGACGGGUGAGUAACACGUGGAUAACCUACCUAUAAGACUGGGAUAACUUCGGGAAACCGGAGCUAAUACCGGAUAAUAUAUUGAACCGCAUGGUUCAAUAGUGAAAGACGGUUUUGCUGUCACUUAUAGAUGGAUCCGCGCCGCAUUAGCUAGUUGGUAAGGUAACGGCUUACCAAGGCAACGAUGCGUAGCCGACCUGAGAGGGUGAUCGGCCACACUGGAACUGAGACACGGUCCAGACUCCUACGGGAGGCAGCAGUAGGGAAUCUUCCGCAAUGGGCGAAAGCCUGACGGAGCAACGCCGCGUGAGUGAUGAAGGUCUUCGGAUCGUAAAACUCUGUUAUUAGGAAAGAACAAAUGUGUAAGUAACUAUGCACGUCUUGACGGUACCUAAUCAGAAAGCCACGGCUAACUACGUG